rnacentral:rRNA from 1 species
UACAGAGGUCCCAAGCGUUGUUCGGAUUCACUGGGCGUAAAGGGUGCGUAGGUGGUGGGGUAAGUUGGAUGUGAAAGCUCCGAGCUUAACUCGGAAAUGGCAUUCAAAACUACCUUGCUAGAGGGUUGGAAGGGGGACUGGAAUUCUCGGUGUAGCAGUGAAAUGCGUAGAUAUCGAGAGGAACACCAGUGGCGAAGGCGAGUCCCUGGACAACUCCUGACACUGAGGCACGAAAGCUAGGGGAGCAAACAGG